AGCAAGCCAAUGGUACUUCGUGUGCCUAAGCAAAGAGAUUGAGUUGAAUGCGAAGGUCAGUGGACACCCCGACUUUUUAUUCUGAAAUAUGGACAUUUUGAAAUAAAUCUAGCAUAUUAA